UACGAAGGGGGCUAGCGUUGCUCGGAAUCACUGGGCGUAAAGGGUGCGUAGGCGGGUCUUUAAGUCAGGGGUGAAAUCCUGGAGCUCAACUCCAGAACUGCCUUUGAUACUGAAGAUCUUGAGUUCGGGAGAGGUGAGUGGAACUGCGAGUGUAGAGGUGAAAUUCGUAGAUAUUCGCAAGAACACCAGUGGCGAAGGCGGCUCACUGGCCCGGUACUGACGCUGAGGCGCGAAAGCGUGGGGAGCAAACAGGG
rnacentral:rRNA from 1 species